AACGAACGCUGGCGGCAGGCCUAACACAUGCAAGUCGAGCGAAGCCUUCGGGCUUAGCGGCGGACGGGUGAGUAACGCGUGGGAACGUGCCCCUUGGUACGGAAUAGCCCCGGGAAACUGGGAGUAAUACCGUAUGUGGUCGAGAGACGAAAGAUUUAUCGCCAAAGGAUCGGCCCGCGUUGGAUUAGGUAGUUGGUGGGGUAAUGGCCUACCAAGCCGACGAUUCAUAGCUGGUUUGAGAGGAUGAUCAGCCACACUGGGACUGAGACACGGCCCAGACUCCUACGGGAGGCAGCAGUGGGGAAUCUUAGACAAUGGGGGAAACCCUGAUCUAGCCAUGCCGCGUGAUCGAUGAAGGCCUUAGGGUUGUAAAGAUCUUUCAGUGGGGAAGAUAAUGACUGUACCCACAGAAGAAGCCCCGGCUAACUCCGUGCCAGCCGCCGCGGUAACAC
rnacentral:rRNA from 1 species